rnacentral:rRNA from 1 species
AUUAAACGCUGGCGGCAUGCCUUACACAUGCAAGUCGAACGGCAGCACGGGGGCAACCCUGGUGGCGAGUGGCGAACGGGUGAGUAAAGCAUCGGAACGUGCCCUGGAGUGGGGGGAUAACGUAGCGAAAGUUACGCUAAUACCGCAUAUUCUGUGAGCAGGAAAGCAGGGGAUCGCAAGACCUUGCGCUCUGGGAGCGGCCGAUGUCGGAUUAGCUAGUUGGUGGGGUAAAGGCCUACCAAGGCGACGAUCCGUAGCGGGUCUGAGAGGAUGAUCCGCCACACUGGGACUGAGACACGGCCCAGACUCCUACGGGAGGCAGCAGUGGGGAAUUUUGGGACAAUGGGCGAAAGCCUGAUCCAGCCAUGCCGCGUGAGUGAAG